CAGUGGUAUAAAGAUAUAAAUUUUUAACCAAGCUGAUAACUGUUUGAAAAAUGAAUAUGGUCAAGUCUACAUGUAGAACUGGGAAAAAUGCAUUUUUUGAUGGACUUUGUCUUCUGUCAUCAAAGGCCAUAUGCUGACAGCUGAACAUCUCUUUCAGUAUCCACAAAGGAAUCCACACAGAGGUGGGAGCUACGAUGUGAGAAGAUAAAAUAAAUCAGUCUGGAAGUUUGUAAAAUACGUCAGUAGAUCAUGAAGAUUGCUUCAAAGUACAGCUGGAAGUUGAAAUCCUAUUGAAAAACCAUCAACUGUAUAGACUUCAGUAUCGAUCAGAAAUUUCUUCAGACAGCUAAUAACUACUGUUCUACUGAUGAUUGUACUAAAAGAAAGAAACAGAAGUCUGCAAAGGAUUUUAGAGGAACAUUAAUGUAUCAAGCGAGAAUAUUCAUCCUCUUGAGCAUGUCUCAUUAAGAAGACUACCAGACGGACUUGUGAGAAAGGCUC
rnacentral:lncRNA from 1 species